GACGAACGCUGGCGGCGUGCCUAAUACAUGCAAGUCGAGCGGACAGAUGGGAGCUUGCUCCCUGAUGUUAGCGGCGGGCGGGGGAGUAACACGUGGGUAACCUGCCUGUAAGACUGGGAUAACUCCGGGAAACCGGGGCUAAUACCGGAUGGUUGUUUGAACCGCAUGGUUCAAACAUAAAAGGUUGCUUCGGCUACCACUCACACAUGGACCCGCGGCGCAUUAGCUAGUUGGUUAGGUAACGGCUCACCAAGGCAACGAUGCGUAGCCGACCUGAGAGGGUGAUCGGCCACACUGGGACUGAGACACGGCCCAGACUCCUACGGGAGGCAGCAGUAGGGAAUCUUCCGCAAUGGACGAAAGUCUGACGGGGCAACGCCGCGUGAGUGAUGAAGGUCUUCGGAUCGUAAAGCUCUGUUGUUAGGGAAGAACAAGUACCGUUCGAAUAGGGCGGUACCUUGACGGUACCUAACCAGAAAGCCACGGCUAACUACGUGCCAGCCGCCGCGGUAAAAC
rnacentral:rRNA from 1 species